CCUACGUGAGGCAGCAGUGGGGAAUAUUGCGCAAUGGGCGAAAGCCUGACGCAGCGACGCCGCGUGAGGGAUGAAGGUCUUCGGAUCGUAAACCUCUGUCAGCAGGGAAGAACGGUCACUGUGCUAAUCAGCAGUGAAUUGACGGUACCUGCAAAGGAAGCACCGGCUAACUCCGUGCCAGCAGCCGCGGUAAUACGGAGGGUGCGAGAGUUAAUCGGAAUUACUGGGCGUAAAGCGCUCGUAGGCGGUAUGUCAAGUCAAGGGUGAAAUCCCCGCGCUCAACGUGGGAACUGCCUUUGAAACUGGCAAACUGGAGUGUGUGAGAGGAUAGUGGAAUUCCAGGUGUAGGAGUGAAAUCCGUAGAUAUCUGGAGGAACAUCAGUGGCGAAGGCGACUAUCUGGCACAUAACUGACGCUGAGGAGCGAAAGCGUGGGUAGCAAACAGGAUUAGAUACCCCAGUAGUC
rnacentral:rRNA from 1 species